rnacentral:rRNA from 1 species
GUAGGGUGCGAGCGUUGUCCGGAAUUACUGGGCGUAAAGAGCUUGUAGGCGGUUUGUCGCGUCGUCUGUGAAAACUCACAGCUCAACUGUGAGCUUGCAGGCGAUACGGGCAGACUUGAGUACUGCAGGGGAGACUGGAAUUCCUGGUGUAGCGGUGAAAUGCGCAGAUAUCAGGAGGAACACCGGUGGCGAAGGCGGGUCUCUGGGCAGUAACUGACGCUGAGAAGCGAAAGCGUGGGUAGCGAACAGGAUUAGAUACCCUGGUAGUCCACGCCGUAAACGGUGGGCGCUAGGUGUGGGUUUCCUUCCACGGGAUCCGUGCCGUAGCUAACGCAUUAAGCGCCCCGCCUGGGGAGUACGGCCGCAAGGCUAAA